rnacentral:rRNA from 1 species
GACGAACGCUGGCGGCGUGCUUAACACAUGCAAGUCGAACGGUAAGGCCCUUUCGGGGGUACACGAGUGGCGAACGGGUGAGUAACACGUGGGUGAUCUGCCCUGCACUUUGGGAUAAGCCUGGGAAACUGGGUCUAAUACCGGAUAGGACUACGCGAUGCAUGUCGUGUGGUGGAAAGCUUUUGCGGUGUGGGAUGGGCCCGCGGCCUAUCAGCUUGUUGGUGGGGUGAUGGCCUACCAAGGCGACGACGGGUAGCCGGCCUGAGAGGGUGUCCGGCCACACUGGGACUGAGAUACGGCCCAGACUCCACGGGAGGCAGCAGUGGGGAAUAUUGCACAAUGGGCGCAAGCCUGAUGCAGCGACGCCGCGUGGGGGAUGACGGCCUUCGGGUUGUAAACCCCUUUCAGCACAGACGAAGCGUAAGUGACGGUAUGUGCAGAAGAAGCGCCGGCCAACUACGUG